CAGUAGCCGCGGGAAUACAGAGGGUGCGAGCGUUAAUCGGAUUUACUGGGCGUAAAGCGUGCGUAGGCGGCUGAUUAAGUCGGAUGUGAAAUCCCUGAGCUUAACUUAGGAAUUGCAUUCGAUACUGGUCAGCUAGAGUAUGGGAGAGGAUGGUAGAAUUCCAGGUGUAGCGGUGAAAUGCGUUGAGAUCUGGAGGAAUACCGAUGGCGAAGGCAGCCAUCUGGCCUAAUACUGACGCUGAGGUACGAAAGCAUGGGGAGCAAACAGGAUUAGAGACCCCGGUAGUCCCUGUCUCUUAUAC
rnacentral:rRNA from 1 species